UGAUGAGUGUCAUAUGCAAGAGAUAAAUAUAUAAAAAAAUAUUUUGUGUAUAAAUGAAAGUGUAAGCACUCCACCUCAAGAGUAACGUGGCAACAUGGGAACUGAAAUCAUUAGACCGUUUCUGAAACUCGUAGUGAAGUAUGUUGUUUAAUUAGAUGGUGCACAAAUAACCUUACCACAAUUUGUAUAACUAUAGUACAUAAUAAUAAUAUAGUUACAAGCGUUGCACGGCUGUCUUUAGUCUAUGUUGUGAAA
rnacentral:rRNA from 1 species